GGCGCGGCUAGGGUAGCUCCCGAACGGCGGCACCGCACCGCCUGCCGCGUCGCCUUCUUGAUGCGG
rnacentral:sRNA from 1 species